ACUCCGCCGUCCAUAGCAACGCCGUUGCUAAGGACGACGUUUUCGCGGGCGGCGGGCUGAAAUUUCAUCCGAGUUGUUGACAGCCGAUUACAUCACCAGUUUCGGUCUCUGCGUCAAGAUGGCGAUUAUCAUAGGCUUCACAGUCUAGAUUGGUAAAAGCCACACCCAGUGGGAUUGUCACCAGCAGGACACCAGGAUGUUAUAUUGUUUAUUUAGCUUGAGAUUAUGGAUAUAUAUAUAUAAGAUGUAUUAUGUAUUGAGAUCUUAAUUUCCAUCUAUUCUGUUUAUUGUAAUCU